rfam:Hyphomonas sp. L-53-1-40 contig2, whole genome shotgun sequence.
GAACUCCUCCCGGGAGAGAGCAGGUAUCCAAUCCUGCCGCCGAAGGCGCAACCGCCCCGGAAACGCUCAGGCAAAUGGACCGGGAGAGAGAC